rnacentral:rRNA from 1 species
GACAGAGGUCCCGAGCGUUAGGCGGAAUCACUGGGCUUAAAGCGUGUGUAGGCGGAUCGUUAAGUGCCUUGUGAAAUCCCACGGCUUAACCGUGGAACUGCUUGGCAUACUGGCGGUCUUGAGCAACCUAGGGGCAAGCGGAACAAAUGGUGGAGCGGUGAAAUGCGUAGAUAUCAUUUGGAACGCCAAUGGUGAAAACAGCUCGCUGGGGGUUUGCUGACGCUGAGACACGAAAGCCAGGGGAGCAAACGGG